GAUGAACGCUGGCGGCGUGCCUAACACAUGCAAGUCGAACGAAGCACCUUACCUGAUUCUUCGGAUGAAAGUCUGGUGACUGAGUGGCGGACGGGUGAGUAACGCGUGGGUAACCUGCCCUGUACAGGGGGAUAACAGCUGGAAACGGCUGCUAAUACCGCAUAAGCGCACGAGGAGACAUCUUCUUGUGUGAAAAACUCCGGAGGUACAGGAUGGGCCCGCGUCUGAUUAGCUGGUUGGCAGGGUAACGGCCUACCAAGGCAACGAUCAGUAGCCGGUGUGAGAGGAAGAGAGGCCACAUGGGAAAGAAGACGCGGUCCAAACGCCUAGGGGGGGCAGCAGUGGGAAAUAUGGAAAAAUGGGGAAAAUCCUGAUGCCGCAACGCGGGGGGGGUAAAGAAGUAUUUCGGUAUGUAAAGCUCUAUCAGCAGGGAAGAUAAUGCCGUUACCUGACUAAGAAGCCCCGGCUAAAUACGUGCCAGCCCCCGCAGUAA
rnacentral:rRNA from 1 species